GAAGGAUUCCUCCUGAGUCAGGCAGAGGGGAGGAAGCAGGCAGAGCAGCAGGGAAACUAUCCAUUUGCAGAAAUGAGUGCCAAUCACUUUGAGGCGGAGAGGAUUCCAUUGAUGACUGAAGAGAGGCCACUGAGUGUCAGAACGGUGGUGGAAAGACCUCCUCAUCCAUCUUUUAAUGGUGGUGGAAGGGAAGCAGCAGCUAUGGAACCAGAUCAGGUAGCAGGAAGGAGCAUUGUGGGGAAAGAGGCUGAGGGGUGGGGCAGCCAGGAUGC